rnacentral:lncRNA from 1 species
GACAACCUUCAGGAUCGUAAACGUGCAACAGCUUUGUACCAGGCUCUACCUGCCAGGUGGCUCUCCAGGUGUGUCCUGUGAUUCCCCACGCUCGCCUGCAGGCUGCACUGUUGCCGUGGUUAUCUCCCAGGCUACCACAGCAGGCAAUUCAAACAGGUUGUGUCAAAGCUGCAGGUAGGCACCGAAUCUGCACCAGCCAAGGCUGAAAAUGGUUGCAGCCGCGAGAACUGUGGACUCUGAGAAGCAAGGAAAGGAGCCCACUCAGAGCUCCAAGAGUGCGCAUGCGUGGAGGACUGAAGCAUGGGUAUCUUUCAUGGCCACAUUCCUGAAGAAAAAUGCUGGUGCCAGGCCCAGGAAAGGACCAGGAACAAGGUUCUCCACACAUCCUCCAUCCGUGCGUUCCAGGGCUCGUGGGUUUGCUUUAGCCAAAACCUCGAACGAGCCACAUCCUUGUGUUCUUGACUGUGAUGAGAUUGCGAGCUAUGUGUAACUUCUCCGAGGGGUCAAAAGUGUUAUGUUUGCUCAACAUUACCCCAGCCUUCUGACACUUGUGAUUACAGAACUGGAGUGCAGACAUGUGGGCAUAUGUAUUUCUGUCUUCAGGCUCCUUAGUGCCCACUGUAAUCUUAAAUUGUAUCAUCUCUGUAGUCCUGAGUAUUGUCUCUUAAAUAAAAAAAUGAAGGACUGACUUGAU